UGGCUUCAAGAAUAUUUGUACUACAUUAUUUGUUUCCUCUCAGAACCAAGAGUUUCUAUUUUUCUUUGGAAGAGGUAAAUCGCAUCUCUUUUCUACUUCCUGGAAGCUGGAACAAUGGAUGAACCAAAUCUGAACCCAGUGGAGAAGGCGGCAAUAUCCUGGAAUAUGGCAGAGGGACAAGACAGAUGAAACCUGGACCCUGAGUGAUGAUGUGCAACCGAGCCACCCCUACAUCUUGGAGUGCUCACUUUUAGGCUAUUUUAAGACAGACAUAGAAAUCCAAGGGCUUUAAAAUAGUAUAUUUUGAAAUGUCCUUGUUACGGCAGCUUUAGUUUGUUUCCUACGUGGUACAGGCAUCCAUAGAAUAUCACGGUGAGUGAAAAUACCAUGAGUAAAACGAUAAAUCUGCAGCAUACAGCUGUGGAAUUCUCCUGUGUUUUCAAGUUAUUUUAAAUAUAUCACAAAAUAAAAUAUAUUGUUUCCA